rnacentral:lncRNA from 1 species
GGAAGCGAGGGCGUCGCAGCAGUGCGGGAUCGCUAGAGAGCAAUGUGGAAGGGUCCGUCAUUAGCAGUCCUCACAUGCGCCGAAGAGCUGCAUCCACACGGGAGUGUCCAUCUAGCCCACACCAGACCCUGCCCAACUCCUCCUCCCUCCUGGGCUCCUUGUUCGGGAGCAGGCCAGGGAAGCCCCCUCCCCAGACCCACCCCCAUCACGCCCAGUGCUGCCGCCUACAGCAGAACCCGCCCCCCUACCACCACCACCACCACUACCACCCACCCCAGCACCUCCAGCACGCCCACCAGUACCACCACGGCCCCCAUGGGGGCCACCCCACCUACAGCGCCCAGGGCCACGGCCACCCACCACUGCCCGCGGCCCACACCGGCCACGCAGCGUACCACCACGGGCAGCCGCCCGCCCCGCCGCCCCCCGCCAGCAGCAAGGCCAAACCCAGCGGCAUCAGCACAAUUGUGUAGACAGCAGGGCGGGCCCCGCCCCCGCCCCCGCCCCCGCCCCCGCCCCACCCCGCGACCCAGCCGGUAUUCUAGAACCACUCCCCACAACCCUCCCAACCCCCCGUCUCCCAAAGGCCCACACCGGCCACGCAGCGUACGGCGGCGAGAGCGGCGGCGCCCCGCCGCCCCCCGCCAGCAGCAAGGCCAAAACCGGCGGCAUCAGCACAAUUGUGUAGACAGCCGGCGGGGCGGGCGGAGGCCUGCCCGGGGCACCUCGUUUCCAGCUCUCCACGACCCUGACAGCUGAGCCCCUGCUGUCUCAGAGCCACCGGCUCGCCUCCCGUGGGGCAGACACCUUCCAGAUGCAGCCUGGGCGCCCUGGGCUCCCUUCCCCUGGUGCGAGGGUGGCCCAGCAGCCACCGCCAGACUCCAAAGGCCGCCAGCUGUGUAGAAGGGGGCUGCUGCCUGCCCCACUGCAGCCCCGCUCUCUGCUCCCUCUUUUUCCAUCUCUGUGAAAACCCUGCCUUGAAAAGAAGAAAUGAGGUACUUUUAAAGAACAGAGACAAAACACAGCAAAACCCCAAACUUGCUGCAUUACUGCUCUGUUAUUGACAAUGGGCAAAAAAAUUAAGUAGGCCUGAUAUGGUUGAUGAAAAUACAUAAGUAAACUUUAUACAAUAUAAAUAUAUACAUAUAUAAAUAUAUAUAAAUAUAUAUAUAUGCAGUAUAGGUAGUAUUUGUGUGUGAAAGACAAGCGUUUCAGUACACAAAUUAGCAAUAGAGACCGUCCAAGGACCUCCUCUUACCUGAUAGGAAGACAGUGCUUAGAUGAGUGUGUGAGAAAGUAGACCAAACACUUCCCCGCUAGGAACAAAUCCAGAUCCUUCCAUAUUUUCAUACAAAAAAAAAAUAAAUAAAGGUCCCUCCAGGACUAAAAUCUUACACCAUCAUUACUAACUGUGCCAAGUAUAUAGCAUCUGUCUAAAACUCCAUACUGCUUUGUAUAAAUCCUUAUUUUAUUAAGAUACUACCCUAAAUAACCAGUAUUAUAACGGCUCUGUUAUUUCAGGUGAGCAUCUAGGUAGAACGCAGUCAGCUCUCAGUAGCAAGUGGAGACAGGUAGCUAAGAUCUGGUCAUCCCGGGGCAUCGGUUGCAAGCUCCUUAGCACUUCGUGUGAAGCCCUCCCUCUCCACUGCCCUCUCUGCAUUCGGUUGGAUGCACUCAUCCCACUCCCGGAAGGUCCAAGCAGCACAGGGCCCAUCUCCGCCAUGGCAGUGGUCCACCCAUCUGACAACACAGCUCCCUCCCCUGGCCCUGCCCAGCAGGCAGGACCCCAAGAGCGAGAGCAGACCCUCAUGAAGUGCUAAGGCUCUCAAAGGCAGCCCCUGGCGGGGGAUGGUGUGUGUCCCAUGCUGUGUCCAGAGUGGUAGCAGUGAUCACUGUAAUUCCACAUAGCCAUGUGCUCACCAAAACCGACCCCCCCAUGUCAUCACAGUGGCCACCAUGGUGACCCUGGCCGUCAAGCGGCUGGCCCUUGCCAGGCAAAUCCCCACUGCCUCUCCUGGUCCUGUGAGCUGCCCGGGCAUCACAUGACUCUUAGCUGUGCUCUUGUCGCUUCUGUGUUGUGGUGACACCAUGCGCUGGACACCCACCAGCACUAGGUCUGUUCCCCGUCACCCACAGGCCCUCCUUUGCAGUUUCAGCCUUUCCAGCCCCUGCAGAUGCCAGUGCUGUGCUCCUAAGCCUUGGGACCUGAGGACUUCCCCGUGGCCCUGUCUGGGUGGCAAUUCUGCAGGCCUCAGGGCUCUGUGUCUGGGGACGACUUGCAACUGGGGCUGGACAGCAGCAAGAGACCAGAGCCAGCUCUGGCCCUGUCACCCUGGCUGGACGGCUGGGGGUUCCCCCGUUUCCCUCCUCAUGCCCCUGUCAUGUCAUUGAGGUCACCGUACCAGCAGAUCUGCAAACUGAGCACUUUGUUGUCUCCACAGAGAGCAAGCCCAGCAAGCCAGAGUUUAGCCUUUUGUGACGGCAGUGACUGCACUGCCUGGCCCUGUCCUCCCAGGGUGGCGUUUCUUUCUCAGCUCAGAAAGCACAGUGACAGCAUGGGUGUGUCCCAUCUGGUCUGGGCCAGGCGCCUUGUGUCUCCAUCUGCCUGGGUUCUCCAUCUGCUGAGCUCUGCCCCUUCCUGGAAGCCAGGCCCCCUGUGUCUCGUGGUUAAGGAUGCCGUUCUGACCAGGACAAGUCGAAUUGUACUGCAUGUCACCUGGCGUCAGUCGUGUGAGGCUACACUCUGUAUUGUACAUUUGCAAAAUACACAGUGUCGCUGUUGAUAAACAGUUGAAGUAAAAAGUGAUAACAUUAAAUCCAUCGGCUUUUCUUCGCCCACUUCCGUGCCAGGCUUGAGGUUGUUCCAGAGAAGAUGCAGAGGCGGGUCCAGAACUGCUCUUUCUGAAAGAACUUUGCUGGUAAACAACAAAGCAGAGAGGAUGGGCCGGAGCAGGGUGUCCCUCCCUCCGCAGCCCUGCCCACGCUGUCCCCGUGUGUCCCAGGGCUGCGUGGUACGACAAACUCUGUCUCUCUCUGGGUUCCCCACUCGAGGGUGCUGGGGCAGGUUGGUGAAGUCUGCUUCUGAGUUUUCCUCACAGAGCUGGGGAAGUGUUUCUGCUGAGUUUGGGGUCCGGAAGUCAGGCUGCCCACAACUGGCUGGGGAAGCACUAGGUUAGCAGGGUCCCGGGCAGGGCUCUGAGGCUGUGACCUGGGGACCCCACUUGUCAGCACAGCCUCCGGCCCCUAGGUGUCUGCACUGUCCCCUCAGCACCCACACACGCUCAGGGCCUCCUCAGGUUCCCACAGAGUUGCUGACAGGCACAGGACAUGGGUGGGCAACGUCACAAAACAUCUUUUCUGGGACAACAGUGAAAUCAUGGAUUUGUAUUCUUUUUUAAUUUCCAAAGGACUUGUACGCUGAUGUCAAGAUAAAAGUUCAUCCUCACGUGACGCCCAUGUAGUGCUUACAAACUCGCACCGCUGCCCUGUGGAGGGUCUUUCCUGCCACUGACAAGCUGGAGGGACAGCAGACAUGUCACCACGCCUCAGGUGCUGGCCCAGCACCCCUGGGGCAGUGGUGGUGUGGGGAGAGGAUGCCCCAGGCCGUGGCUUCACUAGCCAGUCCUCCCAUCCACAGCCACACAGGCGCCGCCCCCAGCGCUGGCAUCAGGCAUUGCCAUUUACCUCCAAUCGCUUUCCGAAAUUAGAUCAGGUCUUGGGUGCCCUCUGUCCCCACACCUCAAGGGUCCCAUGCCACUGGCCCCUGGUGCGACUGGGGAGGAGGGACGGUGUGCACUUGUGCCUGCCUUGAGGUUGAGGGGGACUGAGGUCCCCACGUCUGUGACCCUGUGGAGAAGCAAGUAAGUCCUGUGAAGCUCUCAGGCCCCUACUUGCUGUGAGAGUCCCCAUGGGCCAGACACGGGGUGGCCUCCAGCUGAUGGGCAACACACUACCUGUGACCUGUGACCACAGGCACCAGUUUUCUUGAGGGCCCUGGACUGACUUUUCCUUGAGGAUGCUGCUAGGAGAGGUAUGAUAAAGGCAACAUGACUUGUUAGGGACCGACAGAGGGCUUCAAAGGUUCUUACAGGUCCAGCCACUCACCAGCACUGGUGCUCUCACUGGGCCUGGGAGAUGCAGCAGCCUCUGAAGGGCUGAGGCAGCCGGGGAAGGACAUGAAGGGAAAGAAUAAGGAAAGGAGCUGGGUGUGGUGAUGCACAGCUCCCAGCACCCGGGGAGGCUGAGGCAGGAGGAUUACAAGUUCCAGGCCAGCCUGGGCAGCUUAGGGAGACCCUGACUCCAAAUAAAUUUUAAAAAAAUUUUUAAAGGGCCAAAGGUGUAAGACCAGUGCGGUGGUCUUGAUUUCAGUCCCGGGGAUACAAAAAAGGAGAAACCAAUAUUGCCUUCCCCAAAUUCCAGUGAGCAGCGGGAGAUGACCCUAGGCUGCCUGGCUGCUGUGAGGUCCAGAUGGCAGGAAGGUGACUUGGAUUUCACUGGGCAGUGGUCCUGGGAGGACGGGAUGGGCUGGUUCCAGUUCUCUCUUCCAGGUCGAGUUCAAUUCCAGAGAAAACAUUUCCAGCAUGUUCUCAGUGACUCUGGGCAGGUCCUGCUGUGGACCUCUCUGGAGAAGCGCACAUCUCUGCCUGCAUGUUUCAUCCUGAUGGAAGCAGUCAGGAAGCUGCCACCCAGUGGCCACACCUCAGGGUGCUGCUGCAUGUUUACCCUGGCCCCAGGCCCUUGGGCUCCUCUCCAGAGCAGAGGUGUGAGGCUCCCCUGAGACACCCGGCUCCCUUUCAGGCAUUGGUCUGGCCCCUCAUGGGGCUGCACCCACAGAGCUGGGGACAGCCGGUACUUCCAGGCUGGGGUUCCCCAAGCUGGUCAGCGACCUGACAGUUGCUGAUGGCUGGAAGGAGGGUGGUUGGGUCGCCACCAAACCUGCAGCUGGUCUUGGAGUGUGGAGCUCAGCCAUCUCCAUCAUCCUCGUCAGACACGAGGAAAUGUUUCCCUCUUUGCUGAAUACAGCACUUAUCCGAGCUAUAGGCAAUGUUGGUUCUUCUUCUGGACAGUUAUGGGUAUGGGGAAUGAUUCCAAGUCAGGGCCUUCAUUGUCCCCUGUUAGGUGUAUUUUAGAGUGAUUUCUCCCCUAGGAACACCAUGGAAAGUGGUUGGUUCCAUGCUUAUCUUCAGAUUUAAAUGCAAGCUGUUUUUGUUUUUUUGGUUUUUGGUUUUUGGUGGGGUUUUUUUGUACCAGGGAUUGAACUCAGGACCUUGCACUUGCGAGACAGGCGACGGCACCACUGAGCUAAAUCCCCAGCCCUGGAAGCUGUUCUUGUCAGUUUGGCUGCAUUCCUGAGGCAAGGGCAGAAGUGGUUGGGAAUCACAGGAAGGACAGAAAACUUAGCAAACUUAGUGAGAUUCUGUCUCAAAAUUUUAAAAAGGAGGUGAGGGCUGGGAAUGAAUCUCAGGCUGCUCAGCCAACCCACACAGAGAAGCACCGGAUGAAGGCCCAGAUUUUCAUUGUUUUUUUUUUUUCCAUUAAGUUUAUUGGUACAUUUUAGGUAUACAAUACAGUUACAUUCAUCGUUGGGAUCUUGUACCUUUACAUGAGUAUCUUGG